ACAAAGACUUAAAAUCUUUGAUCACCUAGGCUAUAAAUACCCUACUGCGCCUUCAGUCUUGUACACAACACGGCCAAUUGAAUUACGAGAUCAAGCAAAAAUGGGUGUGAAGAGCUUCUUCCAGGAAAUGAAGACCAAGAUCUCAUCAUCUCGGUUGUUCAAGGCUUUGGUGACAGAAUCUCCGGAGGUAGUCCCGAAAUUCACGACAUCAAUCAAGAGCAUCGAGCUGAUCCAAGGCAGCGGCUACGCGCCUGGCGCCAUUUUCCAGACCAACUUCCCCGAGGGUAAGCCACUCAAUCCCAUCCGGAUCCUCAUCUACCUACAUAUAUAUAAACAUAUAUAUAUGAUGAUGCAGGUGCCCACUUCAAGUACAUGAAGUGCAGAGUGGACGAGAUCGACCACGAGAAGCACAGCAUCAAGUACACGUUGAUCGAGGGAGACAUGCUGGGCGACAAGCUGGAGAAGAUCUGCUACGACAUGAAGUUCGAGGACACGGAAGAUGGCGGCUGCGUGGUGAAGGUGACGAGCGAGUAUCACACGAAGGGUGACUACGAGCUAGCCGAUGAGGAUCUCAAGGGUGCCAAAGAGCAGUCGCUCGGUAUGUACAAGUCUUGUGAGGACUACCUCCUUGCUAACCCCCACGUCUGCGCCUAAAUAUUUAUCAUCUCCUCGCUUCUGUGUUGAGUUGUGUGAAUAAAGAAACAAUUCUACAGUUGUUUCCUUAUUAAGACUUGAGUUGCUGUGUUUGCUUUUCUUCAACCAACUUUGUCUUCAUCCCUAUAUAUAUGUACUUGUAAUUUAAGAGCUUGCUUUGCUAUAAUUUCCUCUAAAUUCAUUCUCUACAUCUACUGUUUCAAUAUUUUCUGUCUUAGAUAGUACUCCCUCCGGCCCACUCCAAUAGGCUCAUUUUCUUCUUUGGGAUGUCCCAUUCCAAUAGGCUCAUUUUUCUUUUUAGGUAAAAAAAUUGUACUUAAUUAGUGUGGAUCACACCACUUUACUACCAUUUUCCUACUAAAAAAUAAGUUUUCUUAAUCUCCGUGCCCAAAAGAAGUGAGUCUAUUGGAGUGAAACGGAGGGAAUAUCGAAAUUAAAUGACAUCAAUUACUCAAUAAAAUUUUGGAUUUGAAAACGUAAAUUUUCAACUUUGUAUAAAAUGUAAUGACAAUUAUAGUUAUUAAAUAAUUAAUAAUCAUUUGAUAAUAAAAAUUAGCAUUAUAUUUUAUUAUAAUUAUAAAGUAUGAUGCAUCAUAAUAAAUAAAUAAUUCACAAAUAUUAAAAAAAAUAAUUUGAAAUUAUAUUUUUUAAUAUAUAUACUAAUUUCAUCUACAAAGUUAAAUUAACAUUAAUAAAAAAAAAUUAUUUUAAAAAAAGAGUUAUAAAAUGAACCAAUAUAUAUUCCUUCACCGCUAUUACAUUUAAACUAUUAUAAUUAAAAAAAUAUAUGUAAACACAAACACAUGAUAUUUACUUAUUUUUAUCUAAAAAUACAAAAAAAAAAUUAAUUAAUAUAAUAGAAAAAAGUAAAUAUGUCAUUAAAGAGAAAAUUAACACUCAUUAAAGUAGAGACGAAAGAACAAAAUACUAAUAUUUUAAAACUUUAAAUUAUCAUAACUUAAUUCAUUCUAAAUUAAUUUUUUUUUUCAAAAGAUGAAAGAGAUAAAAAUAUAAUAACAACAAUUAUUAAAUUACAAUAAAACAAUUUUGAUAUAAUAUUAAUAACAACAAUAAUAAUAGUGCAAAAAAAGGAAGAGAUAAAAAUAUAAAAGAAUAGAGAAAAAGAAAUAGGAGAGAAAAAUAAUUACCAUAAAUUUUUUAAUACAAUAACUUAUUUGUUUCAAAUUCAUAUUUUAUGAUUUUUAUACCAAAUUAAAGAUCUUGUCAUUAUCUUUAAUUUAAGAUACAUAUAGAAUAUCUUUCCAUACAUCAAUUUUGAUUUUUUUAAAGAAAAUCACUAAAGUGUGAAAGAGAGAGUAGAAGAGAGAGAAAUUGUAUGAAAAAAAUAGUGAAAAAAACGUGUGAUAGAGAAAGGAGAGAGAAAAUAUGAAAAAAUGCAUACUGGAAGGAAAGAGAAAAAUUGGCAGAAACAAAAACUGGUGUUUCAUAUAUAUAUAUAUAGAUAUAGAUUAACAUUCAAUGCUAAAUUCAGCUGAUUUAACAAGUGUACAUGUCUAUCAGCAAACAAAACAAAUCAACAAAAGUAUAAACUAUAAACUGAGCCUCAGCAAGCAAAAUAUCUGGUUCUGGCAUUGAAUCAUAGUAUCCCAGCAAUAUUCUUUCUACAGCAAAAUCACAAGGUAUGUAUGAGCUCUAGAUUACAGAAGAGACCGAGCAUAUCUAAUAUUUUGCUCGUGCAGUCAGUCAGUCACCACAAAAUCUUCGAGAUCGUGGGAAGAAGAUGUUCAAUCUAUCUCAGCAGGUUCAAAAAUUUGUGAGUUUGUAGUAGCAGUUGUUACCAGAAAGCAGAAUCUGGUAACCAUUACCACAAGGGCACUUGAAAUGGAGGGCUAGGCAUUCUCCAGUCCUCUCCACAUGCACUGCUUCUUCUAAAGGACUUUCCACUUGUUCUUCACACUCUUCCUGCAAUGUUACGCCACUAAAUCCUUUUAACAUCAACGAUAAUGGAAUUAUAAUUAAGACCACGUUCUGAGAUUCAUAUCAACAUCUAGAUGACAUAGCUACACAAAACUAGUUUGUCAUUUAUAUGAUGACAAACGGAAAGGCAAUACGAGAGUGCUCUGAGAUCGUCUGAAAUAUAAUGUACAUUAACAGAGUUCAACUGAAUAUGAAAAAAGUGAAGCUCACACUGCAAAAAUCCAGACUUGAGCAAAAUAAAUAACACCAAGUACUUAAUAAUGAUCAAAGAUCAAAUGCAAUCAGAAACAUGCAUACGGACUUCGCAAACAUUAACCAAACCAAGGUUCAUUUCACAAGGACCAAAGAUUGAAUGUGCUGAGUUUCAUCUGAAUCACUGUCAAAGGUAAGAAUCUAUUCUGAGUUUCAUCUGAAUAGCCAAAGCAGUUUAACAGAAUAAAGACUGAGUUCGCUAACAGAAAUCUGAAUCGCUUUGAAAAGAAACUUAUUUUUACAGAUCCUGAAAUAUUAAAAAAUUCAUUUAACUCGUUUGUAAACCAGAGAUAAAACAAGUAAGCUAAGACUAACUGAUCAUAAAAAGGUAAAGCCCUAUAUUAAGCAGACAGCAUAUAGAACAUUAAUAUGAUCAAAGAUAAAGCAAACAGAAAUACUGUGAAAAAACAGAGUUGUUUCUAUAAAGAUCAUAGAGCAAAUGCACUGAUCCGAAAUAACUUGAAAGCAAAAUCUAGAAUUUAUGAAAUCUAUGUCAAUUCAAAAAAAUAGAAAUAAAUAAAUCUCUUUGUUUUUUUGCGAAGGAUAGAAAUAAAUAAAUCUUAAGUCUAUACUUGCAAACAAAUUAAAAGAUUCCCAUCGACAGAAUUUGGAUAAGUUAUAGGCUAAAGAAAUACAAGCAAAUGAACUAGUUUGGUGGAUUAUGAAUCAACACAAAAAAUUGAAUAAAAUUUAGAAGUUUGUAAUAAGAAUCAAGACCCUGGGAUCGUUAUCAGUGAAGACAUUUUCAGAUUCAAGAUUUUCGUCAUCAUCGUCUUCACUGGAGGCUUGAUCCCACCACUCGCUCAUCUCUCUCAGCCGCUUUUUGAUUCUCUUCAACCUCUGCAUUAAUAGAAAACCCAAUUAAGCGAAUUUUCCCCAAUCAAAUUUCACAAAUUAAGAAGAGAUAAAACUAGCAUAUAUAGCUGAAAAGUUUGAAAAGAAAAACCCAACCUUGGCAUUGGGAUUCUCUCCGGAGUUGGGAGACCUAGAAGGGUUCCUCCUGGCCGGUGGACGCGGCGGAGUGCCGGCGGCCGGUUUGAAGGGAGGAAUCGGAGCGGAUACUGUGCGGCAUAGAGAAGGCCGCAGGAUUUCUUGAAGUGGAUAUGAUUCUUGAUCAACAUUUAUGUUUGACAUUUCUUGGCGCGGCUGGAUCCUGAUUGGAACCGGAGAAGUAGGAAGUUCCGACGAUUGUGGAGGCGCCGCCGCAGAAUUGGUGGUGCACGGAGAAUAUAUGGGCUCGGAAUUUGCGCGGAGCAGUUGCGGUGCGGCGGUGGAAUAGGGAGGAAGCGAGAAUUUCUUGUAGCCGGCGGCGGAGGGAGAGGAAGGGGGGUUGAGAGUGGCCCUUUUGGGAACUGGUUCUUGAAGAAGGGAUCGGGAUAGCGGAGACUGUCUCUUGCCGGAGUUUCCGCAGGCGAUGGUGUACGCAUCGAGUGAUGCGGCGGCGGCGGCGGCAGGGUAUUGGUCGCAGGCGGUGGAGAGGUGGUGCAUGGAGUAGCAGAUGUUGUCUUCUUGUUGGAUUUUUUGGAGGUAAUUGAUUUCUUCAUCACCCAUCUCUGCUGAAUUAUGAGUUGGGUGGUGUUUUUGCUUUUGAUCAACAACUGAUUUUUUUAAGAAUUGGGAGAGGAGGGAAACGAGUAAAUAGUCAUAUUUUUUCACCACCAACAAUAUAACCAGGAAAAAAAAAAGGAAAUAAAAGAAAAGAAAAUGUGUUCGAAAUUUGAUUAGUUUUUUUUUUUUUUAAGAAUUUGAUUAAUUUAUAGUUAGUAGAAUGAUUACCCACUAUUAAAAAAACACUUACAAUGAUUAGAAUUAAGGGCUAAUUGUCUGUAAAUUAAUCCAUAACGUUUACUUGUAAUUAGUUUUUGCUCAUAAUUUAAAAAGUCUACUUUUAAAUACAUAAUCUUUUAUUUUUGUCUCCGAAAUUGACUCUGUGGCAACCGAAAUGACUCUUGAUUUUUUUUUAGGUUUUUUUUUGGCAUGGGGAAUUAAAAUCAUUAUAUAAUACAGUUUGAGAUUCCUGCUCUCUCCUCAAUUCAAGGUCCUAUGUAGCAUCUUAAGAAUUCAGUAUUUCAAAUCUCUGCAAUUCUAGAGCAUUUGAGUUUAUAAUAUUCAUCCUACGUGAAAAAUUAAUUCCACAUAUAUUUUAUUUUUAUUUUAUAGUUUAGAAACACAAAAUCAAUAUUUAUCUCCCCUAAUUCCCAAAACCUAAAGCCAAUUUGCCUUCCCCGGUCUCUCACAUCCGACUCUCCCCUCACCCGCUACAAUUCAAUUAAUUACAUUUAAUUGAGAUGAGUAUGAGUAUAUACAUUUUUAUGUGAUUACAAUAUCAAAAAGAAAAAAGUUUGAAUUCUCCACGAAAGCAGACUCCAAAUAUCCUAUUUGAUAUUAUGUGUGACAUGUCUACGUGGAGCGUUCUCCAAUUUUAAGUAUUUUAUUAUUUAAAUUAUUUGGAUAUGUAUAGUAUCCAUUUUUGACGGGUAUAGACAUUUAUCAACAUGCCUACAUAAUUUUUUUUCUAAUUUUUUAAACUCUUAUUUUUGUAGUAAUAUUUAUUAUGUAAUUGUUCGAGUCUCUAUAAAAAUGGGUAAAUUAUGUGUGUGGGUAAUGAACACAUAUUACAAUAUAUUUUGUGAUGAGAAAAAGUAGUAAAAUUAAUUUUUAUACGACUCUGAUAUAAUAUUAUUUCAUUUACUAUAAUUAUAAACUGAACAAAAGAGAUUACUCGUCGAAAUUCGACGGGUUACACACUAGUGUAUAUAUAUAUAUACAAAAAUCUCCCUUAUUAUUAUUUUUAUCUAAUUUAUUUAUUUAACGAUUGAAAAUUCAAAUUGUUAAUAUUAUUUUUAUCUAAUUUUUUAUUUAUAAAAAUAUACUCACUCCGUCCCCAAAAUAAGUUCCUCUUUGGGGACGGACGGUUUUAAGAAAAUGGUAAUGUAUUGAUAGUGGAGAAAAAUAUGUUAUAAUUAGUAUUGAGAGUGGUGAAAAUGUGAAAAAUGUUAUAAUUAGUAUUGGAAGUGGUGAAAAAGUGAAAAGUGAGAAUAAAUAAAGUAUUAUUAGUUGUAGUUGUCAAAAAUGGAAAGAAAGAAAGAGGAAUUAUUUGGGGGGACGUCCCAAAAAGGAAAAAGAGAACUUAUUUCAGGACGGAGGGAUAGUGUGUGUGUGUGUGUGUGUGUGUUUGUGUAUGUGUGUGUGUGUGUGUAUUUCUUUUUAACGACACAAUUUCGGUCGUUAUAAAUAUUGAAUUUUGGUUGUUAUAAAUGAAAAAAAGGCAAAAAAAAACUACUACCAAAAUUGGUAACUAUAACGAUCGAAAUUUCGAUCGUUAAUUUUUAAUGUCCGAAUUAUCGAUUGUUAAUUUUUGGAACGAUUAUGCAAAUAGCGAUCGAUAAAAUCGAUCGUUAAUUUGAUCAUUAAUCGUGUCAUUUUUCAGUAUAAACGAUCGUUAAAAUUAUCUAAAAAUAUUGUAUCUAUCUAUCUAUGAUUUAUCUAAUUUCUUUUUUUGUCUCUUUGGGAAAAUAAAAAGGAGAAGACUGAAGCAAAAUUAAAUUGACCUUGCUAAACAGGUAAUUUUAAAUUAAAUUAUUGUUGUUUUCUGUGCAUUCUUCAUUGAUCUUUAUUCAUACCUCAUUUUGCUUGAUAAUCAUAUUUACUUUGUCAACUAUACAACAAUGCUUGUACCAAGAACAGUAACUCGUUAAAAUCUUUCCCACCGAAAGCUCGUUACUUUCGGUCUGCUUUCCAACCUUCUCCGACGAAGGUCGGCGUGCCGUUUCCGUUCACGUCUGCUCUAGAUCGGCAACAAGCACGACUCGGCCGCUGAAUGAUCUGCCAGCUCUGGUCUCGCACCAGCUCCUGCAAAUUCCCGUCGAUCACUCCCUCUCUCGUGACCGUCUUCUCCGGCUAGCUCAGCUCCAGUCCGGACGGCAGACUGUCUUCAUCAGCCGGUGCCCCCCGGUGUGCACGAGCGUGUCUAUCCGGCGGCGUUGCAAAAGAGCGCAUCUCCAUCGCCGCCGCUCGGACCGCUCCGCCUCCUCCGGAAGCACGCUGCUAGCCUUCAUCAGUUCGGCUAUCCGGCAUUUAAGGUCCGCCCAGCCCGCAACAGCAGGCAGCAGGUUUGAAGACAGAUCUGUGAAAAUUGGAAACACUGUAGAUGGUUGACUUGUAUCGGCCAUUGUCCAGAAUCCGUUCCGGUCUUCCAGCCGGCGCCGCAUCUCUUCGAUCCGUCAACCGCCUGUAGCCAGCGCCUCUCUCAUUCCGAUCAUGUCCUCCGGUGAUUUUUCCUCGAUCGACAGGGGUGGUCUUAAUCUGCCCCAAGUGUCGAACAACUUCACCAAAGCCUCUACUGACGUUGCUGGCCCAGCUUUACCAACCUCCAAGGAUAACAAUUGUUUGCCGAGUGUUUCAGCGCAGAAGAAUCAGCAGCCGCUGCUUGGUUCUUCCUCUUCUACCGCGAAAGCUGUUGGAAUGGUAUCCUCUUAUGCUCAUGCCACGGCCCCCCAAAGGGUCAGGAAGCCGGACUUACCGGCACAUAAAUUCCACGCGCUUCAACCCUUUGCUCAAGGAGGACAUGGCGUGCUCAAAGUUCCUCGAGAAAUCCAGAAUUUUCAAGCGUCAAAAUUCCAACACGCGCUUAUUGGUCGUUUCAUGAUGAAUAAGGGUGAAAAACCUAGGACCACUAGAGAACUCAAGGCGGAAUUACAAUCGUUGUGGGCGAUUAAAUCUCCUUGGUUUCUCAUGCCGAUGGGAAGAGGAUUUUAUACUUUAAAGUUCCUAGAUAAGGAAGAUAAGGCUACCGCUAAACGACAUGUGAUCUGGGAUCUUCAUGCAGGUUCGAUACGUCUUCGUGAUUGGGCUCGCUGUUUUAACCCCUAUAAAGAAUCGUCCUCCUUGGCUCAAGUUUGGGUGAGAGUCUAUUACCUGCCGGUGGAGUUCUGGCAUUCCGGAGGUUCUUUUGGGCAUUGGUCGAUGGUUGGGACAACCGUUGAAGAUUGAUGGUACGUCUAUUGAUGAUGAAGUAGCUCACUUUGCUCGCAUUUUAGUGGAAAUUGAUCUCUCUCGACCACUCCUGGAAUUCAUGACUAUCGAUGGAGCGAGUAUUUUUUAACAUUGAAUUCAGUUAUGAAUAUAUUCCUUUAUAUUGCACUAAAUGUAAGAUAACUGGACACUCGCCGGACAAGUGUCGGCGAGGAAAAGCAGGGAAAAUGUUAGAACCUGAGGCGAAGAUCAUUAGAGGCCCGGAAUGGCAGGCUGUUGUGAAGGCCAAGAGUAAGCAGCCUCUCGAUGGAGAGGUAGCAUCUGACUCGGAGUCGGAAGAUGGAGCUAAGGAAGCGAGUGUUACUUUGCCCAAGGAGUUUACAGGGCCGGAUAUUUUGAAAAAUUUGUGUAACAGGAGUUCGGAGUCUAAGCACAAUCAACUGNUUUAUUUAUUUAACGAUUGAAAAUUCAAAUUGUUAAUAUUAUUUUUAUCUAAUUUUUUAUUUAUAAAAAUAUACUCACUCCGUCCCCAAAAUAAGUUCCUCUUUGGGGACGGUACGAGUUUUAAGGAAAAAUGGUUAAUUGUAUUGAUAGUGGAGAAGAAUAUGUUAUAAUUAGUAUUGAGAGUGGUGAAAAUGUGAAAAGUGUUAUAAUUAGUAUUGGAAGUGGUGAAAAAGUGAAAAGUGAGAAUAAAUAAAGUAUUAUUAGUGGUGGGUAGUUGUCCAAAAAUGGAAAGAAAGAAAGAGGAAUUUAUUUGGGGGACGUCCCAAAAAGGAAAAAGAUGAACUUAUUUCAAGGACGGAGGGAGGUAGUGUGUGUGUGUGUGUGUGUGUGUGUGUGUGUAUUUCUUUUUAACGACACAAUUUCGGUCGUUAUAAAUAUUGAAUUUUGGUUGUUAUAAAUGAAAAAAAGGCAAAAAAAACUACUACCAAAAUUGGUAACUAUAACGAUCGAAAUUUCGAUCGUUAAUUUUAAUGUCCGAAUUAUCGAUUGUUAAUUUUUGGAACGAUUAUGCAAAUAGCAAUCGAUAAAAUCGAUCGUUAAUUUGAUCAUUAAUCGUGUCAUUUUUCAGUAUAAACGAUCGUUAAAAUUAUCUAAAAAUAUUGUAUCUAUCUAUCUAUGAUUUAUCUAAUUUCUUUUUUUGCUCUUUGGGAAAAUAAAAAGGAGAAGACUGAAGCAAAAUUAAAUUGACCUUGCUAAACAGGUAAUUUUAAAUUAAAUUAUUGUUGUUUUCUGUGCAUUCCUCAUUGAUCUUUAUUCAUACCUCAUUUUGCUUCAUAAAUAUGUUUGAGGAGAUGCUUCAAUAAUAAUUAAUCACUUCUUCAUCUACAUCAUCUCUCAUUUCGACCGGGUAAAUAUUGGAAGGGUCGAACUUAAUGAAUAUACUUAAUUAUUUUUUUUCCUUGAUUAGGUUUGUGAUUUGUUUUUCAAAUAAAUUAAAUAUUUAGUCCUACUUAAAUAUAAGUGACCUUUUUUUUUUUUUUUUUUGUAGAAAACACCAAAACCCAUAUAUUAAUUCAAAUCACGAUGAACAAUAUCUAAAAGACCCGACAGAAAGUUGGAUCUCCAGAUCAUUGCAUCAGGAAUACAAACGGCUAAAUUAGCCAAGAAAUGGGCCGCUCUAUUAGCUUCCCUACGAACAUGUCUAAAAUCAAGCACUAUCUUCUCCUUGAUAUAAAUAAAAGCAUCAUAAAGAUCAUCACAAAGAGAGUCCACCCCCCUCGUUUUCUCACUCAAAACGUGCACCGCCAAGAGUGAAUCCGUAAAAACCUCAAGAGGGCAAAAAUCAUGCUCCAUGCAGAAACCCACACCCAACAAGAUCGAGUGCAGUUCGCCCAUAAGAAUGGUUUCCGUUUUUCCAAUGCGUCUCGCAGCCGCCGCUAACACCUUGCCUGUAUAAUCCCGAACCAGAAAACCGACUCCAACCACAUUUCCAUUAGCAUGGAUAGAUACAUCCACAUCCAACCAAAAAGAACCACGGCACGGUGGAUGCCAACACUUAUCUCCUUCCUUCGGCAGAAUCGACUGCUGCGCUCUCGUCUUGCAACUUGCCUCCUGGAACAUACUCAGAAAAACCUCGCCAUUUUCGAUAAACUCCAUCAUUCCAGCAGCCUUAUUGCCAUGUUUAACAUUACAUUGAUUCUUCCAACUCCACCAAAGAAAAAUAACAAACUGCUCCAGAUCCUCAACUCCAAAAACAGCCAAAAAAUCCCUACAAAGCGACUCACUGUCAAGAUUUUCUCUACCUCUCAGCCACGACCACCAUUUGGUCUUCUUCCAUUCCUCCCGCACUGACUCGCAGAAAAUGAUUGAGUGAGUCGUCGAGCCCCAAUCCCGAUUGCACCAGGAGCAGAUACCAUUAAUAGGAAUAUGAUGAUUCUUCAAGUUUAUAGCAGUAGGCAGCAUAUUCUUCAUAAAUCUCCAAGCAAAAACCCUGACCUUCGGUGGAAUAAAAGUUUCCAAACAAACUUCCACCAAUCUUCAACAACUUCUGAAGUCGUGUUAGCCUUCGGCAAGAAACAUUCAUUUUCAAGUAGAUAUCCAGAUUUCACUGUAUAUCUCCCUUUCUCAUCAUGUAUCCAAAAUCUGUCAUCUUUCUCAUUUCUUGAUAAAUCCAUGGACAUAAUACUUUGUACCUCAUAAGAGAGAAAAUUUUCCUUCAAAAGCUCCUCCUUCCAACGUUUAUUUUCAUCAAUAAAUUCAGCAAUCAAAAUAUUUUCAUCCUUCACCAUCCCUCCGGCAGCUAUACCAUCUCCCCCAUUAGGAAUCCAAGCAUCCUUAAAAGCACUCACACUUUUCCCAUUGCCAAUUUUCCACCUCACUCCACGUCUCACCAGAUCUCCUCCCCACAAAAUCGAUCGCCAAGAAUAGGAAGCCGUCGAGGGGCAAAUAGCAUUCAACACGUCCCCAUCCUUAUAAUAGCGUCCUUUAAGCACCCUAGCCACCAACGAGUUAGGGAACUUGAUCAAUCGCCACACCUGUUUAGCUAGUAAUGCCUUGUUAAAUGCGACCAAAUCUCGAAAACCCAUCCCACCUUUCGACUUCAGAGAGAAGAGCGACUGCCACUUUGCCCAAUGCAUAUUUGGACCUUUUUCAGUCAUUCCCCACCAAAAAUUAGCGCUAGCCUUCUCCAUAUCUCUGCAAACAGCAACAGAAACCUUAAAACAAUUCAUGGCGUAAGUAGGAAUCGCCUGUAUAAUUGAUUUAAGGAGGACUUCUCUACCGCCCAUUGAAAAAUGCUUAUUUUUCCACGAUCCAAGCUUCUUACAGACCCUUUCACGUAGGUAAUCAAAUUGAAUCCUCUUCUGCUUCAUCACGAUCGUAGGAAGACCUAAAUAUACAGAAUGUCCUUUGGUCUGACCUAUGCCCAAAGUUUUCGCCACCACCUCCCUAUCACUCUCCAGAGUACACGGACUAAAAGUAACAGCAGAUUUAUCCUUAUUAAUCUGUUGCCCCGAAGCCACAGAAUAAAGAUCAAUAGCAUCUCUGAUAGCAUCCACCCCCUUAGCAUUAGCUCUAAAAAAGAGAAGGCUAUCAUCCGCAAAGAAGAGAUGACUUAUUGUCGGACUAGCCUUAGCAACCCGUAACCCUUCGAACUCUUUCAUUCUCGUAUAUUCAUGGAGAAUCGAGGACAACCCUUGCGCGCAGAUAACAAAUAAGAAUGGCGACAACGGGCAUCCUUGGCGAAUACCCCUCGUAGGGAUCAAAGAACCAUACACCUUUCCAUUCACCACAAAAGCAAAAUCCACCGAGGUUAUACAAUCCAUCACCACCCGCAUCAAUCUACUAGGAAACCCCAUCACCUGCAUCAUAGCCUUUAUAAAGCCCCACUCAACUCUGUCAUAAGCUUUCCUCAUAUCCAGUUUUGCUGCCGCAAAACCAUGUUUCCCAUUCUUUUGAUUUUUAAGCCAAUGCAUACAUUCGUAGCCCACUAAGAUAUUGUCUGUGAUCAACCGCUCGGGGACGAAAGCACUCUGGUUAUCAUCAAUAACCUUUCCCAACACUCUUCUUAACCGAUUUGCCACCACUUUAGUCACAAUCUUAUAAGUGGUAUUACAUAAGCUAAUAGGCCGAAAUUCACUGACUUGCUUCGGCUUUUUAACUUUCGGAAUGAGGACUAUCAAACUCUUGUUCCACUCUCUAAUACUAUCAUCUCCAUUGAGAAUACCCAGAACCUCUUUAGUAAUGGAACCUCCAAUCUCUCCCCAAUACUUCUGGAAAAAAAUAGGUGGAAACCCGUCAGGUCCCGGGGCUUUAUUCGGAUUCAUCUGAAAGAUUGCUUUCCGUACUUCCUCUUUAGUAAAAGGUUCUUGAAGAACGACAACAUCUGCCUGUUGAAAUCUGUUUUUAACACAGCUGGUAAUCGCCGAAAUAUCCUCAGCCCUAGGCUUAUCCGACCGAAAGAGAUCCUUGAAAUAUUGCUGAAUAAUACUUGCCUUGUUCUCAUCCUUAGUCUGCAAAACGCCCCUCGAAUCAAACAAGCCUUCAAUUCUAUUUUUCCUCUUUCUUUCUGAGGCGAAGUUGUGAAAAUACUUCGUAUUCCUGUCCCCCAAUCCCAGCCAAUUCGCUCUUGACCUCUGCUUCCAAUGUAUUUCCUCUGCCUCCGAAAUCCUCUCAAUUUUCACAUUAAUCUCAUGCAGCUCCUUCCCCACAUCUUUAUCUCCGCACUGAUUCAACAGCUUGAUCCUCUUCUUUCUUAACUCCUCAAGCGUCUUCGAAGGGUUUUUGUACUCAGAAUCCACCCAUUUUUUGAGAUAUUGCUGGCAUAAGGCAAGCCGCUUUGGCAAAGAAUGACUACCAAAACCCCUCCAGUUCAUAAGAAUAUAANGAGGACAACCCUUGCGCGCAGAUAACAAAUAAGAAUGGCGACAACGGGCAUCCUUGGCGAAUACCCCUCGUAGGGAUCAAAGAACCAUACACCUUUCCAUUCACCACAAAAGCAAAAUCCACCGAGGUUAUACAAUCCAUCACCACCCGCAUCAAUCUACUAGGAAACCCCAUCACCUGCAUCAUAGCCUUUAUAAAGCCCCACUCAACUCUGUCAUAAGCUUUCCUCAUAUCCAGUUUUGCUGCCGCAAAACCAUGUUUCCCAUUCUUUUGAUUUUUAAGCCAAUGCAUACAUUCGUAGCCCACUAAGAUAUUGUCUGUGAUCAACCGCUCGGGGACGAAAGCACUCUGGUUAUCAUCAAUAACCUUUCCCAACACUCUUCUAACCGAUUGCCACCACUUUAGCACAAUCUUAUAAGUGGUAUUACAUAACUAAUAGGCCGAAAUUCACACUGCUUCGGCUUUUUAACUUUCGGAAUAGGACUAUCAAACUCUUGUUCCACUCUCUAAACUAUCAUCUCCAUUGAGAAUACCCAGAACCUCUUUAGUAAUGGAACCUCCAAUCUCUCCCCAAUACUUCUGGAAAAAAAUAGGUGGAAACCCGUCAGGUCCCGGGGCUUUAUUCGGAUUCAUCUGAAAGAUUGCUUUCCGUACUUCCUCUUUAGUAAAAGGUUCUUGAAGAACGACAACAUCUGCCUGUUGAAAUCUGUUUUUAACACAGCUGGUAAUCGCCGAAAUAUCCUCAGCCCUAGGCUUAUCCGACCGAAAGAGAUCCUUGAAAUAUUGCUGAAUAAUACUUGCCUUGUUCUCAUCCUUAGUCUGCAAAACGCCCCUCGAAUCAAACAAGCCUUCAAUUCUAUUUUUCCUCUUUCUUUCUGAGGCGAAGUUGUGAAAAUACUUCGUAUUCCUGUCCCCCAAUCCCAGCCAAUUCGCUCUUGACCUCUGCUUCCAAUGUAUUUCCUCUGCCUCCGAAAUCCUCUCAAUUUUCACAUUAAUCUCAUGCAGCUCCUUCCCCACAUCUUUAUCUCCGCACUGAUUCAACAGCUUGAUCCUCUUCUUUCUUAACUCCUCAAGCGUCUUCGAAGGGUUUUUGUACUCAGAAUCCACCCAUUUUUUGAGAUAUUGCUGGCAUAAGGCAAGCCGCUUUGGCAAAGAAUGACUACCAAAACCCCUCCAGUUCAUAAGAAUAUAAGUGACCUUUCUAUACUAAUUAGUUUAUCCUUGAAAUGGAUGACUCAAGUUUUGACCAUGGUGUCAUCACUCAAUGGUAACCAAUUCAGUCUUCGUGAUAACUUAAUUAGCUCGAGUUCGAGGAUUUUUUAGGACAAUAACUUAGGUUGAUUUGGAAAUUAGGACAAAAAAUUUUGAAUUUGUAAAAACAGGACACUAAUUUUUUUUAGAGUAAAAUAGGACACUAAUUAAUAAGUCUUGCAUCCGCAGAACAUUUCUCGGCCAAUUAUUGGGCCGAAAAAUGUCCUAUUUUUACGACGCUUAUUAAUUAGUGUCUUAUUUUACUUUAAAAAAAAAUUGGUGUCCUAUUUUUACAAGUCCGAAAAUUUUGUCCUAAUUUCCAAAUCAACAUAAGUUACUGUACUAAAAAAUCCUCUGACUCUAAUAAGCUCAAUAGGUGACUCGAUCAUCGCCCAAGCUACGCUAGUUUGAUCAUGAUAGAUUAAUCAAAUAUGAACUUAAUGCAUUACUUAUAUAUUUAUUAAGCAACAACUGAGUCAUGAUAACUGAUCAUGCUUGGUCACCCUUUCCGGUAUAUACUUAGUGCUCAUUUAGUUCAAGUAAAUGAAUGGAAAAGGAAUGAAAUUAAAUAAAAGGGAGAAAUAGUAACAAUAACUAUUAUUUUUAUAGAGUAUUUGAUAUAACAAUGGAAAUGAAUCACUAGUAAGAGAUUCAAUUUCUUUUGUUUUCUCCUCUAUGUUGAAGAGUAACAAAUUGGGUGAUUGAGUUACCCUCAAAUAAGAGUAAUGAUUAACUCAUUACUUAAACCAAAUAAUAGGUAAUGGAUUCAAUUAAUUGAAUCCUCCUAAAAAACGUGCAAUCGGAUAUGAGUUUAGUUAGGGUGGGGGGGGGGUUAAAAAAAACACUACAAGAAACAGCGGCUCCAACGACCGAAAUUAACGACCGAAAUUUUCGGUCUUUAAAAAGGCGGCCGUAACGACCGAAAUUUUAAUAUUAACGACCGUUUUGUUUAAUAUUUUAAAUCUUAUUUUUUUUUAUUUCCUACGACCGAAUGAAACGGUCGUUAAUUUAUAACGACCGUAUCUACGACCGUUUUCCGGUCGUUGGUAUUUUUUAUUGAAUUUUGAUAUAAUUUUAAUUUAACGACCGUUUGUAACGGUCGUUACCUUAAUUUGAGUUCUGAUAUUUUUAAGUUUUCGGAAAUAUUUAACGACCGUUUUUUAACGGUCGUUGUAUUUUAAUUUAUUUAAAUAUAUUUAAUAUUAACGACCGAAAUUCGGUCUUUAUAUUAGAACUAAAAAAAGAAAUAAUUAAUAAUUAUUUUUAACGACCGUUUUUCGGUCGUUGUAUACCGAAAUUAUUAAUAUUAUAAUUAAAAUUGGCAACGACCGAAAAACGGUCGUUAUUUGAAAAUCGGUCGUUGAAUUCGCGGACUUAACUUAGGUUUUCUAAUUUUUCCCCCAUUUUCUUCUCCACCCUUUCCUCCUCCGAUUCUCCGCCGAUUUCGCCGUUCCCGACACCGCCGCCUCCGUCCAUCGAACGGCCACCUCCACCGACGCCGCCGCUGCUGCUCCUCUCCGUCCGACGCGACCGCUGCUGCUUCUCUUCGUCCGACGCGACGCGACCGCUGCUGCUCCUCUCCGUCCAACGCGACGCCGACGCCGCCGCUCUCCGUCCGACGCCGCUGCUCUCCGGAUAUAGAUGGAUGCUUCUACUCAAUCCGGGUCUAAUCCAUCCGGUUCUACUCCAUCUGGUUCGGGUCCAUCCGGUUCUGGUCCUAUUUUCGAUAAUAGGCCGCCAGAGGAUGAAAACCCUAAUGUGGAGGAGGAACGUGUUGCUAGUGAUGGGCGGACAUGGGUUUAUUUCACUCGUAGGUACGUUUCACAAUGUAUCAGUUAACUUCAAAUUAUUUUGUACAUUAAUUCUAAAUUUAAUUUCAACACUUUAAGUAUUCUGAGGCCGACUGGAGCUAUUCGGGCUAGGGCGACUGAUAGCUUUCAAGGUAUGCCACAUGAAAGUGGCACCAAUUGGAAGAAUUUGACUGAGGGGAUGGGGGAUUUUUAUUUUGAUGAGUUUGAGGUACGAUCAUCUCAUAUAUAAUUUUUAUAUUCUAAACAAACAAUCACAAUACUAAUUUUUCUCUUAUUUGCAAUAUCUCUAAAUAGAAAGCAUUUUGUUGGGAUAAAACGCAACAUACCAGGCAUGUUAUUAAGAAAGCGUGGGUUAAGUCAGCUCGAGUGGCGUACAAGGAUUACAUCAGCAAUUGCAAGAAGGUCCUGUUGAUACAUAAGAAGAAGAUUGAUUAUCUUCAGCCUAACAUUGAGGCAGCUUGUGCCUCCGAAUAAUAAAGAAUGAUAGAAUUCUCAAAACCUCAAUAAUCAAGCACAAAAUUCACCAAUAAACAUAACCUAUAGUAAAAUCAACCUUGACAUUCCAAACAAUUGAAUCUCACAAGGUAUGUGUAUCACUCAACUCUCAAUUUGAUGGAACGGGACGUGUAUACUCUCAUCGAAUUCAAUGCAAUGCAGAUCACUUACCAUAAGCUUGCCAAUCGUCUACAAUCUCCAUCGCUAAAAGUGUACCAGGACUAAGAUCAAAAAGGUCUUUUUCUUUGGGUUAUAAUGUAGGGACAUUGGUUAAGGUAGGGAAAUACAGGCUAAGUGAUUCAAAAUAAUUUAAGAACACCAACCUUAUAGCUUCACAAAUCAAGUAUGGAAUAAAUUAACACAACUCAAGGGAUUUAAUCAUCACAAAACAGAACUAAACAGUCUUUUAUGCUCUCCAUUUAUUUCCAGCAAACAAAGUCGAUUUUCUAACCAAUUUCUCAAUGUACACUCGACUUCACACAUUUUUUUUCUCUUUCUUUUUUUUUUCUCAACAAUUUUUUUUUCUUUUUUUUUCUUUUUUUCUUACUAACUUCUAGAGCUUAUAAGAGUAAAUAGUACACAAAUCAUCCCUAUUUUCAUGACCAUAUGAAAUUCACCACACAAGAUCCCCAUAUACUACAUCACCCCUAUCAUCCGGCUAAAGAAUAAAAGUAAAUAGGCUCAAAGUGGAUAACAAAGAUAAAUUUUUUUCGUUAAGGACAGUGUUUGGGAUAAUAAAAUGGGCUAACAAAAGAGGCCUAAAAUCAUCUCUAAUCCUGGCACAACAGCAACCUCACACAGAAACCAUGGCAAGUUCUAGAAGAUCACCACAUGCAAUGACAAAAACUCACAACAAAGAAUAAAACUGUGUAUGAUAAACAUUAUGGCUCAAAAUCUCACAGGUUUAUUCAACGUCAAAAGUCAAGGUCAAAAUCACUCUAGAAUUAUGCAAAUUAGUUCAAUUAUGCUAAAUCAUCAAAGAAAAUCAAACUCAAAUUUUUUUUUCACAGAAAUCAUCAUUGGCAUCUCACCAGAAAUCUAAUGGAGCAUAAAUACAAAAAAAAAAAAACACACACCACCAACCAAGCAGGAUAAAACAAUAAAGCCAACAAAAAAUAAAAGUGAUACACAUAUCUAUCUCACCCCCCUCCCCCAAACUUAUUACAGAACAUAAGUUCGAAAUAAGUUGGAGGGAUGAUGAUAUGUGUGUCACUACUCACAGAAAACACAUGCUCCAGGUGGUAGUAUGGACAAGGCGCGAGUUCCGCAUCUUCCAAGCUCAACACUGCACUAAACCAAACAAAACAAAGAAAACAAAGAAACAAAAGAAACUAAAAGAAAGAAAACAAAACAAACGAAAACGGUUAGGGUUACCGUCCCAACAAGUGCUUAAUUUAACGUCUAGAGCUCGACGAUACCUCAUGAUCAUCAAUGAACAUCAAACGCAGCGGGCGUGACAGACCGCCUAACACGAACAGAGACAGAGGACUCAUGCGCAUCAGCUGCGUGAAAGACGACGCUUCCAUUCGGCACAUCUAUCAUAGCUCUUCCCGUAGCUAAGAAUGAUCGACCAAGAAUCAACGGCGGAUUUGCAUCUUCAGGAAUAUCGAGGACCAAGAAAUCCGUAGGGAAGACGAGCUUGUCAACCUUCACAAAGAUGUCUUCAAGCUUUCCUCUCGGCUUCACUCUUGAUCUAUCCGCCAUUUGAAUCUCCAUCGAGGUCGGCUUGAGAUCUCCAAUUCCCAACCGCUUGAAAACAGAGAUGGGCAUCACAUUGACACUAGCCCCUAAAUCACAAAGAGCCUCGGGAAAGAGCUCUCCUCCAAUCUCGCACUCAAUGGUGAAGCUACCCGGAUCUUUCUUCUUCGAAAGUAGCUUCAUUGGCAGCUCAGUGCCCACAGCUGUCGCCUGCGGGAUUUUCUCAUCCUCAUCACCCAUCUUCUUGGUGUGAACAACUGUUUUUUCUUCUUUAUCCUUGGGAUCCUGCAAUUGUGAGAGAGUUUGAAGCUGUGCACGUCGGUCCGAUUCUUCAAGUAGUCUCUCUAGCUCAUCCACUAUACAUCUAUGCUCUGUCUCCUCGGGAUUGACAACUUUUUUCUCAUUCUUGCAAUGGGAGAUCUCCAGCUUGAUUUCCUUGGCAUCCACCUUUUUGCUCGGCUGCACAGCACAUUGCUCUUCAAGCACCUCCCUCUUCAUCAGCCUACGGGGGAAUGGAACCUUUGGGAUGUAUUCCCUAAGUGGAACAGGAGCUUUGUAUGGUUCCUCAAUCAGAGAUUCAUGCUCCUUGCUCGUCUCCUCACAGUUUGCCAGGAAAAAUUCAAUCGCUUCCUCAUCUUCUGGAGACACAGUGUCAUCGAAAAUCGCAUUGCAUUGGUCAUUCUGCUUGCCUUCGGUAUGUCCAGGCCUGCUCUGCGCAACUGCAUGGCUAGCCAUUUGGCUAACUUGCGUCUCCAAAAUCUGUACCUGCUUGGACAGUGCUGAAACAUUGUUCCCCAUGUUAGCCAUACCAUUCUCUAGACUGGCCAUCCUUGCACCCAUGCUAUUCUCAAGAUUGGCAAUCUUGGCACCCACAGUCGUCUCUAUACUGGCCAUCUUGUUGUCAAUAGUAGUUUCGAAACUAGUCAUCUGCACCAACAACUGCUGCAUCAUCUCUUCAAGUGACACCUUCUUAGGCUCAUUGACAAUCAUCCUUGUGGAGCUCCGAUCAUGUGGCAAUUGGUAGCUAUUGGAGGCCAUCUCCUCCAAUUCAAAAGUGUUUGCCUGCAUAGCUGACCCCCAUCCACCUCCAUCAAAUUGCCCAACUUGAGAUUGGUACAUGUAAUCGAGUAGUGAAGGUGGUGGAGGAGGCUGCGCACGUCUGUUGGCCUCUUUAAUUUGUCUUUGCUCAUUCAGCUGCCUCUGCAGUUCUGCAAUCAUACGCCACGUAGCUUCAAGAUCAAAAUUCUCAGCCAUCGCUUGCUUCUUCUUCUCGCGGUUAUCCAACAGCUGAGACACCAAACGAAAAUAAGAAACAAGAAAACAAAAACUAAAAAUAAAAUUAAAACUUAUAACGCCUAAAAUAAUGCUUAAGCCUAGUCAGAAAUAUUAAAGUAAAUUCUAAAUAGUCCCCGGCAACGGCGCCAAAAAGUUGAUCACUAUUUUUAUAGCAACAAAAACUGCAACUAAACAGUGUAAUCGUAGCACAGAAACAGCAAGUCGAGUAUCGUAUCCACAGGGACUAUUAUAACGAAUCACUCUAAGUAAUCCCGAGUAAACUCUAGUAGUAUUCAGGCAAACUCCCACGAAAACGAAGAACAAAACUAAAAUCAAAACAAAGCAAAUAAAAUAGGAUAAAAACUCAAAUAAUAAAAGACUCUGACCCUAGGGAUGUACUAUUGUUAAUCAAACACAUGUAUUCAACCUAUUGAUUCAAUUACCAAUUUAAUCCAACCCUGAUGAAAGAUCACUAUAUUAUUCACAAGCUUCUCUAACGAACACCUAUGAACGUAGAUUAAUUUACCCCUUUUCACAUUCAAGACUCCAAGGAAUAAAUUAACUCCAAAUAGCACACAAAGAAUAGCUUCCUAUAGCUUCACCUGUCGCAUUCAAGACUCAAGGCUAACACUAUAUCAUGCAUUCCUGAAUCGGCUGAACAAUUAUCGCAUUCAAGACUCAAACUGAACAGCUAGACAUGUAAAUUAUUGAUCAGGUAAUUCACAAGAAAACAGGCACCAGGAAUCAUGAAUCACAAGUUGGAGGGCAAAUUGAUAUCAACAAAUCAAACACACAUAUUAAAUCAACUUUGUACAAACCCUAGGUUCAGAUAAAAGAACUAGCCAGACAUCAUAAAAUAAAAUAAAAGCAUAAAUAAAAGAAAGCAAUUGAAAUAAAUAAAAUAGAUAAAACCCGGAAGAAUGUUGAAUGACAGCUUGAAUCUUGUAGGAAAAUAAAGCUAAUCUAUGAAAACAAUAAAAGUCUAAGUCUAAAACUGAAAAGAUGGAGAAAAGAGGUAAAUAGAUGUGAAAAGAUGUGUCUAAUAGGUCAGGGAAAGGACCUAUAUAUAUGCA
rnacentral:lncRNA from 1 species